rnacentral:lncRNA from 1 species
GUGGCUGCUUCAGGAAUAUCAGAGGAACUGAGCGCCCUGCAUUCUUGUGUGCUUGACACACUUUCAGAGGCGUGGGCGCCCUCCACAAGACCUUAGUACGCCCUUAAAUAAGGAGUGUUUGUGAAAUGGUGGCGUGAUGCUCAUAUCGACCCGGAUGCUUGCUCCGAGUCAGAUGUUCUGCAUUUUCUACAGUACAGGCUGGAUAGUGGAUCUCUUCCGUCAACUCUGAAAGCCUAUGUGGAUGCUAUUGCCUCGUUUCGUUCCCUGCUGGGCGGGCAAUCAUCAGGCAUGCGCUGGUGGUGAGAUUUCUUAAGGGGGUGAGGAGAUUGCAUCCCACGCAUCUGCCUUCAGUCCCACCCUGGGACCUAGAGGUGGUGUUAAGAGCUCAUUCACAGCCACCAUUCGAGCCUUUAGCAUCCAUUGCUAUGAAGGAGCUAUCUCUCAAAACUGCACUUCUUCUUGCUCUUGCUUCGGCUAAGCACAUAGGGGAUUUACAUGCGUUUUCUGUGGACAGUGAUUGUAUUCGCUUUGGACCCGGUGACUCCAUCUACUCCCUUCAGAGCGCAAACUGUUUGGCUCUCUGCCCUGUCUUCUGAGUCAUCGACCUUGUGUGAUGCAGACACUCAGAUUUUGGUGUGCCCUUUCAGGGCUUUGAGGACUUACAUUGACCGUUUGGCCAGCUUACGGCAGUCUGACCAGCUUUUCGUGUGCCACUGUGGUUGUAUGAAGGGCCGGGCCGUGUCAAAACAGAGACUUUCCUACUGGAUUGUGGACGCUAUCACGGCUGCUUAUACUGUACGAGCCAAGGUUUGGAAUGCCCCUUUCACAUUAGGGCCCACACAACAAGAGCUAUCACUUCCUCAUGGGCAUGGUCAAGAGGAUAUAUGUCUUGCAGCUGACUGGUCUUCUCAGAAUACCUUUGUCAGGUUUUACAAGCUGAACGUUCAGUCCUUAGCUUCCGAAGUACAGUCGAUAUCUGCUUCCUGUCACUGGCACCAGAAGACAACAGGAGUCUGACAGACUGACCUGAGCUCAGAGAGAAGAACAUCUCAUGCAGGUACUGUAUGAAGGACACAGGCACACACAAUCUAGACAGAUAAUCUAUGAUAAUUGUAUUG